rnacentral:lncRNA from 1 species
AUGGGGGGGCUGCUUUGCGGGCCCGGCCGCCGCCACGUGACUGCGGUGGCCCGGGCGCCGCAGCGGCGUCACGUCACGUGGCCGAGCACAGCCCCCCCCCCCCCCCGCCGCGGUGCCGCAGAGCCCGCCCGGCUGCCGCGCAUGCGCCGUGCCGCGCCCGCCCCCCGCCCCCCGCCCCCCCGGGCCGCCCCCGCCCCCGCCCCCCGCCGCGUGCGCGCUGCCCGGGGUGAGUGUCGCAGCGGCCCGGCCGGGGUGCUGGGGGGGCGGGGGGGGCGGGCCGGGCCGGGUGACGUGCACUUGCCGCGCGCCGCUGGGCGCUUGGGGACCCGCAGCGCCGCCGCCCCCGGUGCCCGCCAGACAGCGCCGCGGAUGAGUCACGGCGGGAUGCUGCGCCCCGGCCCCGCCCCCCGGCCCCCCGGCCCCCCGCCCCCCGCCCCGCCGGCGCAGCGCACGCACCUGGCAGUCGCUCCUUUGUGUGCAGCCCGGCCCGGCCCCGCCGCCGCUGCACCCCGGGGAGGGGGGGGGCGAGGCCGCCGUCCCGGGCCCGCAGCGCCCCCCUGCGCCCCCCUGCGCCCGAGCUUGCGGGACACGCUCCAGGUGCUUGGUAGACACGUGAAGAGGCCGCCGCGAGCCGGCGGUGCCGGGAGGAGGCAGCGAGUGUGGAGCUGCAGGGGCAGGGUCCGCUGGCGGCGCAGCCAUCGCGGUCCCCACGGGGCGUCCUCCCCGGGAGGUGGAGCGUCGCCCGCGGGCGGCCUGGACGCCGCAGGCAGUGCUGACAUCAGCCCCAGACGGGUUUGUCCCAGCGUCCCGCACCUGCGAUGCCCCGCAGCGCCCAGCCCCGGUGACUCCCCACGGGCCGCAGCGGCCCCCUCCGUACCCCGGAGGACGUCGGAAGCAGGGGCGUCCUGGAAGGCCGUCCAGGUGCCUCCAGGUGCCGUGGCCGCGCAGCCCAAGCGACUGCCCCGUCGGCAGCACUCGGACUCCCCUGAAGAGCUUUCUCGAGCUCCAUGCUGUCCUAACUGGGAGUUGGCCAGGUGCGCAGGAAAGAGGUGA